GGUAUGAUGUCUCUAAAGGAAGAUCAUUGCCGCUGAGUGACUCCCUUUUUUUUUUUUUUUCUAAGAAAGCUUUCAGCCUCUGUCACUUCUGGAGAGUGGCAGUCAAUAGGUAAGACUAAAUGGAAAGGCUAAUGUUCAGUUCAGAGCCUAAAUCUUGAUCUUGUUUGCAGGUGAAUAUUCAGGAGGGAGCCCAUGGCCUGGAGAGGAAGCUGGUGACCAGGGAAGAGCAGAAGAGUGAUAUCUGCUGCCAUUUGCCAUGGCAGACUGCCAUGGGCACAGUGGCUAACUCUGCAGGAGUAAUCUGACUUCAAACAACAGAAAACUCAGUGCUGGGUGUUCUUGGUUCCAGUGGGAAAUAGUUUUAAUAAGGUUAUGGGACAUCUCCCAGAGAAAGGAAAUGUCCAAUGAUUACUCAGAACUAUGUUAAUUGUGGAUGUAUCAAAGAUUACUGAACGCCCUUUGCAAUAUUUUCCUGAGGCAGAUGGAGAAUAAACACCUUCAUUACGGGUGCUCAGAUGAUCCACUGUGCUGAAUUACAUUGAGAAGCACCUGGUACGUUUCUUGAUCUACCCGUGCACUCACGUACCCUGCUGUGACGUCAGGAUUGCCCUAAGUGGGUACCUAUCUCCUAUGAAAGAGCAAGUGCGUUUUCCACAGCCUUUCAGAACCUCUGAUAGUGCUACCCAAAACAAAUCCUGGAGUAACGAGGCAGUUCUAACGUAAAUGUUUAAUAGAGGCAAGGGAUUCUCAUCUGAUUACUUUGCUGCUGCAGAGAAAGAGGAUCUAAUUUAACAUUAAGUCUGUAAUUAGUGAAUAGUGCUCUUUUG